AGAGUUUGAUCCUGGCUCAGGAUGAACGCUGGCGGCGUGCUUAACACAUGCAAGUCGAACGGAGAUAGCGGAGAGCUUGCUUUCUGCUAUCUUAGUGGCGGACGGGUGAGUAACGCGUGGGUAACCUACCCUGUACAGGGGGAUAGCAGCUGGAAACGGCUGAUAAAACCGCAUAAAACGGCAGUACCGCAUGGUACAACCGUCAAAUAUUCAUAGGUACAGGAUGGGCCCGCGUCUGAUUAGCCAGUUGGUGGGGUAACGGCCUACCAAAGCGACGAUCAGUAGCCGGCCUGAGAGGGUGAACGGCCACAUUGGGACUGAGACACGGCCCAAACUCCUACGGGAGGCAGCAGUGGGGAAUAUUGGACAAUGGGGGAAACCCUGAUCCAGCGAACCGCCGCGUGAGUGAAGAAGUAUCUCGGUAUGUAAAGCUCUAUCAGCAGGGAAGAUGAUGACGGUACCUGACUAAGAAGCACCGGCUAAAUACGUGCCAGCCGCCGC
rnacentral:rRNA from 1 species